GUUUUGCAACUUGACUAGUCAUUUAAAAUCAAUUGUUGAUUAUCACAACAAAUAUGGUAAUAUUUCGUCACGUGAUCACUAAAAAUAAAUGAUUACACUUUCAAACUGUAGCCAGUACCGAAACCUAUUAUCUUGGCAAAAAUCAUCAGCAUACACCCAUUUGAUAUCUUUAUAUAAAUUUUUCUUUAUUUUUUUGCUAUAUUACUCAAUCAGCCAUGCCUUAGACAUGCUGAGUUCGGAAAAAAAAUGAUUCAUUAAAGCUCACAAGAAAUUGCUUGAAUAACUGAGAAAUCGUAGAAUCAGUUAUUAUUCUAUUGACCAUUUGUGCUUUUAAUUAUAUUGAUAAAUUUUAGCCCAGAACAUUUUAAGAAUGAUAGACGGGUAUCACGACCACUUUCAAAAAAAAAAACGCUUAGGGAAGCACCAUUAGAUUUUUUGACCAAAAAGAGAAAUAUCUCUGAAUUAUACGGCAAGUAACGGUUCAAAGUGUCCUUAAAUGAUACAUUAUUUUCUUAGGAGAACGCAAGGUGUCAAAAGGAUAUUAUGAAAGGAUACAAGAAUAAUAUUAUGAAACAAUUUUCCUAUCCAGUCAUCCCACCAAGAUGUUAUUGUUGCUUUUAUUAGUAUGUUUGACCUUGGUAUAUCAAGGGACCAGAAAUAUAUACGAGGACAAGCUCCAAUUCACCCUUCACAGUUGGCUUUCAUUGAUAAAGGCCCAACACUCAGUCAGUGCAUGCGCACCUGAAAAACUGACAAGAUUAUUAAGGUAAGAGACCCAUUA